GAUGAGCGCUGGCGGCGUGCCUAAUACAUGCAAGUCGAGCGAACAGACGAGGAGCUUGCUCCUCUGACGUUAGCGGCGGACGGGUGAGUAACACGUGGAUAACCUACCUAUAAGACUGGGAUAACUUCGGGAAACCGGAGCUAAUACCGGAUAAUAUAUUGAACCGCAUGGUUCAAUAGUGAAAGACGGUUUUGCUGUCACUUAUAGAUGGAUCCGCGCCGCAUUAGCUAGUUGGUAAGGUAACGGCUUACCAAGGCGACGAUGCGUAGCCGACCUGAGAGGGUGAGCGGCCAGACUGGAACUGAGCCACGGUCCAGACUCCUACGGGAGGCAGCAGUAGGGAAUCUUCCGCAAUGGGCGAAAGCCUGACGGAGCAACGCCGCGGGAGUGAUGAAGGUCUUAGGAUCGUAAAACUCUUUUAUUAGGGAAGAACAAAUGUGUAAGUAACUAUGCACGUCGUGACGGUACCUAAUCAGAAAGCCACGGCUAACUACGUG
rnacentral:rRNA from 1 species